GAUUAAGUUAUUAAGGGCGCACGGUGGAUGCCUUGGCACUAGAAGCCGAUGAAGGACGUUACUAACGACGAUAUGCUUUGGGGAGCUGUAAGUAAGCUUUGAUCCAGAGAUUUCCGAAUGGGGAAACCCAGCAUGAGUUAUGUCAUGUUAUCGAUAUGUGAAUACAUAGCAUAUCAGAAGGCACACCCGGAGAACUGAAACAUCUUAGUACCCGGAGGAAGAGAAAGAAAAUUCGAUUCCCUUAGUAGCGGCGAGCGAAACGGGAAGAGCCCAAACCAACAAGCUUGCUUGUUGGGGUUGUAGGACACUCUAUACGGAGUUACAAAGGACGACAUUAGACGAAUCAUCUGGAAAGAUGAAUCAAAGAAGGUAAUAAUCCUGUAGUCGAAAAUGUUGUCUCUCUUGAGUGGAUCCUGAGUACGACGGAGCACGUGAAAUUCCGUCGGAAUCUGGGAGGACCAUCUCCUAAGGCUAAAUACUCUCUAGUGACCGAUAGUGAACCAGUACCGUGAGGGAAAGGUGAAAAGCACCCCGGAAGGGGAGUGAAAUAGAACCUGAAACCGUGUGCUUACAAGUAGUCAGAGCCCGUUAAUGGGUGAUGGCGUGCCUUUUGUAGAAUGAACCGGCGAGUUACGAUUUGAUGCAAGGUUAAGCAGUAAAUGUGGAGCCGUAGCGAAAGCGAGUCUGAAUAGGGCGUUUAGUAUUUGGUCGUAGACCCGAAACCAGGUGAUCUACCCUUGGUCAGGUUGAAGUUCAGGUAACACUGAAUGGAGGACCGAACCGACUUACGUUGAAAAGUGAGCGGAUGAACUGAGGGUAGCGGAGAAAUUCCAAUCGAACCUGGAGAUAGCUGGUUCUCUCCGAAAUAGCUUUAGGGCUAGCCUCAAGUGAUGAUUAUUGGAGGUAGAGCACUGUUUGGACGAGGGGCCCCUCUCGGGUUACCGAAUUCAGACAAACUCCGAAUGCCAAUUAAUUUAACUUGGGAGUCAGAACAUGGGUGAUAAGGUCCGUGUUCGAAAGGGAAACAGCCCAGACCACCAGCUAAGGUCCCAAAAUAUAUGUUAAGUGGAAAAGGAUGUGGCGUUGCCCAGACAACUAGGAUGUUGGCUUAGAAGCAGCCAUCAUUUAAAGAGUGCGUAAUAGCUCACUAGUCGAGUGACACUGCGCCGAAAAUGUACCGGGGCUAAACAUAUUACCGAAGCUGUGGAUUGUCCUUUGGACAAUGGUAGGAGAGCGUUCUAAGGGCGUUGAAGCAUGAUCGUAAGGACAUGUGGAGCGCUUAGAAGUGAGAAUGCCGGUGUGAGUAG
rnacentral:rRNA from 1 species